rnacentral:rRNA from 1 species
GGAUGACCUGUGGCUGGGGGUGAAAGGCCAAUCAAACCGGGAGAUAGCUGGUUCUCCCCGAAAGCUAUUUAGGUAGCGCCUCGUGAAUUCAUCUCCGGGGGUAGAGCACUGUUUCGGCUAGGGGGCCAUCCCGGCUUACCAACCCGAUGCAAACUGCGAAUACCGGAGAAUGUUAUCACGGGAGACACACGGCGGGUGCUAACGUCCGUCGUGAAGAGGGAAACAACCCAGACCGCCAGCUAAGGUCCCAAAGUCAUGGUUAAGUGGGAAACGAUGUGGGAAGGCCCAGACAGCCAGGAUGUUGGCUUAGAAGCAGCCAUCAUUUAAAGAAAGCGUAAUAGCUCACUGGUCGAGUCGGCCUGCGCGGAAGAUGUAACGGGGCUAAACCAUGCACCGAAGCUGCGGCAGCGAACGUAUCACCCAAGACAACUUUACGGAGUUGACGAUUGACGGAGCGAAGCGACGUCAAAGCGUUCAUUAAAGUCGAGUUGGCUUAGGGAUACGUUCGUUGGGUAGGGGAGCGUUCUGUAAGCCGUUGAAGGUGGCCUGUGAGGGUUACUGGAGGUAUCAGAAGUGCGAAUGCUGACAUAAGUAACGAUAAAGCGGGUGAAAAGCCCGCUCGCCGGAAGACCAAGGGUUCCUGUCCAACGUUAAUCGGGGCAGGGUGAGUCGACCCCUAAGGCGAGGCCGAAAGGCGUAGUCGAUGGGAAACGGGUUAAUAUUCCCGUACUUGGUGUUACUGCGAAGGGGGGACGGAGAAGGCUAUGUUGGCCGGGCGACGGUUGUCCCGGUUUAAGCGUGUAGGUGUGUGUUCCAGGUAAAUCCGGUUCACUUUAACACUGAGGCGUGAUGACGAGGCACUACGGUGCUGAAGCAACAAAUGCCCUGCUUCCAGGAAAAGCCUCUAAGCAUCAGGUAACAUCAAAUCGUACCCCAAACCGACACAGGUGGUCAGGUAGAGAAUACCAAGGCGCUUGAGAGAACUCGGGUGAAGGAACUAGGCAAAAUGGUGCCGUAACUUCGGGAGAAGGCACGCUGACACGUAGGUGAAGUGAUUUACUCAUGGAGCUGAAGUCAGUCGAAGAUACCAGCUGGCUGCAACUGUUUAUUAAAAACACAGCACUGUGCAAACACGAAAGUGGACGUAUACGGUGUGACGCCUGCCCGGUGCCGGAAGGUUAAUUGAUGGGGUCAGCGCAAGCGAAGCUCCUGAUCGAAGCCCCGGUAAACGGCGGCCGUAACUAUAACGGUCCUAAGGUAGCGAAAUUCCUUGUCGGGUAAGUUCCGACCUGCACGAAUGGCGUAAUGAUGGCCAGGCUGUCUCCACCCGAGACUCAGUGAAAUUGAACUCGCUGUGAAGAUGCAGUGUACCCGCGGCAAGACGGAAAGACCCCGUGAACCUUUACUAUAGCUUGACACUGAACAUUGAGCCUUGAUGUGUAG